CGCGGCCUAUCAGCUUGUUGGUGGGGUGAUGGCCUACCAAGGCGUCGACGGGUAGCCGGCCUGAGAGGGCGACCGGCCACACUGGGACUGAGACACGGCCCAGACUCCUACGGGAGGCAGCAGUGGGGAAUAUUGCACAAUGGGCGAAAGCCUGAUGCAGCGACGCCGCGUGAGGGAUGACGGCCUUCGGGUUGUAAACCUCUUUCAGCAGGGAAGAAGGCCUUCGGGUGGACGGUACCUGUAGAAGAAGCGCCGGCUAACUACGUGCCAGCAGCCGCGGUAAUACGUAGGGCGCAAGCGUUGUCCGGAAUUAUUGGGCGUAAAGAGCUCGUAGGCGGUUUGUCGCGUCUGGUGUGAAAUCCCGAGGCUCAACCUCGGGCUUGCAUCGGGUACGGGCAGACUAGAGUACUGUAGGGGAGACUGGAAUUCCUGGUGUAGCGGUGGAAUGCGCAGAUAUCAGGAGGAACACCGAUGGCGAAGGCAGGUCUCUGGGCAGUUACUGACGCUGAGGAGCGAAAGCAUGGGGAGCGAACAGGAUUAGAUACCCUGGUAGUCCAUGCCGUAAACGUUGGGCACUAGGUGUGGGGCUCAUUCCACGAGUUCCGUGCCGCAGCUAACGCAUUAAGUGCCCCGCCUGGGGAGUACGG
rnacentral:rRNA from 1 species